UCAGAUGAUGGACGUCUCAAAGAUAUCCUUUAUUUUACUGUUAGUAGCAUGGAGCGUACAGGGCGAUGCUGAAAGUCUCGCCUCGCUCUCUGGAGGGCAAGAGCCCGAGACCCGAGUGGUGGGUGGCAAAGUCGCACCCGAAGGCCUUGUGCCACAUCAAGUCGCUCUUAAAAAAAAAGACGGCUGGACUUUCUGCGGUGGUGCUGUCAUCUCCGACAGAUGGAUACUGACAGCUGCCCAUUGUGUCGAAGAGUAAUAACAUAUACAUAUUGUGUUAACUGAGCUAAUUCAAGAGUACAUGAUGAGCCGUUUUUUGUCUGAGUUUUUAAAACUAUACGUAAUAAGUUUGAAUUUUUUUGAGUCUAAAACUAUCAAAGUUUACCGCUGUAGUUGGUACAUUAUCGAGAACGAAAGGUGGCACAACGUAUGAAAUAAGCAAAGUCAUUUCUCACAAAGAACAUAACAAGCCAUAUAGAUACAACAACGAUAUUGCUGUUAUAAGUACGAAAAAGGCCAUCGAAUUCAAUAAAAAGGUUCAGCCUCUGCCAUUACCCACAAAGGAUAUCAAGGAUGGAUUGUCGUGUAUACUAAGCGGCUGGGGUCGACUAGGGUAUAAGCGGCCAUCGCCUGAUAAAUUACAGUAUCUGUAUGUAAGAACUUUAACCAGCGUCCAGUGUUAUAAGCACUUUAAUCACCGCUCCCCAAUCACUAUAAAUUCCAACCAGAUGUGUACCCUUAACAAACGUGGAGAAGGAACAUGCGAAGGUGAUUCAGGCGGCAGCUUAGUGUGCAACGGCACCUCAGCCGGUGUCGUGUCCUUCAACUGGCCCUGCGCUAAUAAUUUCCCUGACACGUACGCCAACACGUACAAGUACAACUCCUGGAUAAAAAAAAAUACUAAAUCACCCUGAUUUGUCAUUCAUAAUUUUUUUAUUAAUUUCGUCGUAAAAACCCAGGCUCUGGACUGGACUUGUUUUGAAUAUAUAUUUAAACUACUCACCUUAAACAAACUCAUUUAAUUCAAUACUAGGAGGACGAAGAACGGGACGAGAAGAAUAAAGAUGAGGACUUUCUGUAAAUAAAUAUAUAACGA